rnacentral:rRNA from 1 species
GACGAACGCUGGCGGCGUGCUUAACACAUGCAAGUCGAACGGAAAGGCCCCUUUUGGGGUGCUCGAGUGGCGAACGGGUGGGUAACACGUGCGUAACCUGCCCUUGACUUCGGGAUGACUUCAUGAAACUGGGGCUAAUACCGGCUAGGAAUCCUUGCUGCAUGGUGGGGGUUGGAAAGCUUCGGCGGUUUUGGAAGGACUCGCUGCUUAUCAGCUUGUUGGUGGGGUAGUGGCUUACCAAGGCUUUGACGGGUAGCCGGCCUGGGAGGGCGACCGGCCACAUUGGGGCCUAGAUACGGCCCAGACUCCUACGGGAGGCAGCAGUGGGGAAUAUUGCACAAUGGGCGGAAGCCUGAUGCAGGAAAGCCGCGGGCGGGAUGACGGCCUUCGGGUUGGAAACCGCUUUCAGCAGGUGCGAAGCUUGUGGUGACGGUACCUGCAGAAGAAGCACCGGCUAACUACGUG